rnacentral:rRNA from 1 species
GGUCAAGUGAAGAAGCGCAUACGGUGGAUGCCUUGGCAGUCAGAGGCGAUGAAAGACGUGGUAGCCUGCGAAAAGCUUCGGGGAGUCGGCAAACAGACUUUGAUCCGGAGAUCUCUGAAUGGGGGAACCCACCUAGGAUAACCUAGGUAUCUUGUACUGAAUCCAUAGGUGCAAGAGGCGAACCAGGGGAACUGAAACAUCUAAGUACCCUGAGGAAAAGAAAUCAACCGAGAUUCCCUUAGUAGUGGCGAGCGAACGGGGAUUAGCCCUUAAGCUUCAUUGAUUUUAGCGGAACGCUCUGGAAAGUGCGGCCAUAGUGGGUGAUAGCCCCGUACGCGAAAGGAUCUUUGAAGUGAAAUCGAGUAGGACGGAGCACGAGAAACUUUGUCUGAACAUGGGGGGACCAUCCUCCAAGGCUAAAUACUACUGACUGACCGAUAGUGAACCAGUACCGUGAGGGAAAGGCGAAAAGAACCCCGGAGAGGGGAGUGAAAUAGAACCUGAAACCGUAUGCGUACAAGCAGUGGGAGCCUACUUGUUAGGUGACUGCGUACCUUUUGUAUAAUGGGUCAGCGACUUAUAUUCAGUGGCAAGCUUAACCGUAUAGGGUAGGCGUAGCGAAAGCGAGUCUUAAUAGGGCGUUUAGUCGCUGGGUAUAGACCCGAAACCGGGCGAUCUAUCCAUGAGCAGGUUGAAGGUUAGGUAACACUGACUGGAGGACCGAACCCACUCCCGUUGAAAAGGUAGGGGAUGACUUGUGGAUCGGAGUGAAAGGCUAAUCAAGCUCGGAGAUAGCUGGUUCUCCUCGAAAGCUAUUUAGGUAGCGCCUCAUGUAUCACUCUGGGGGGUAGAGCACUGUUUCGGCUAGGGGGUCAUCCCGACUUACCAAACCGAUGCAAACUCCGAAUACCCAGAAGUGCCGAGCAUGGGAGACACACGGCGGGUGCUAACGUCCGUCGUGAAAAGGGAAACAACCCAGACCGCCAGCUAAGGUCCCAAAGUUGUGGUUAAGUGGUAAACGAUGUGGGAAGGCUUAGACAGCUAGGAGGUUGGCUUAGAAGCAGCCACCCUUUAAAGAAAGCGUAAUAGCUCACUAGUCGAGUCGGCCUGCGCGGAAGAUGUAACGGGGCUCAAACCACACACCGAAGCUGCGGGUGUCACGUANNNNNNNNNNNNNNNNNNNNNNNNNNNNNNNNNNNNNNNNNNNNNNNNNNNNNNNNNNNNNNNNNNNNNNNNNNNNNNNNNNNNNNNNNNNNUCACGUAAGUGACGCGGUAGAGGAGCGUUCUGUAAGCCUGUGAAGGUGAGUUGAGAAGCUUGCUGGAGGUAUCAGAAGUGCGAAUGCUGACAUGAGUAACGACAAUGGGUGUGAAAAACACCCACGCCGAAAGACCAAGGGUUCCUGCGCAACGUUAAUCGACGCAGGGUUAGUCGGUUCCUAAGGCGAGGCUGAAAAGCGUAGUCGAUGGGAAACAGGUUAAUAUUCCUGUACUUCUGGUUACUGCGAUGGAGGGACGGAGAAGGCUAGGCCAGCUUGGCGUUGGUUGUCCAAGUUUAAGGUGGUAGGCUGAAAUCUUAGGUAAAUCCGGGGUUUCAAGGCCGAGAGCUGAUGACGAGUCGUCUUUUAGAUGACGAAGUGGUUGAUGCCAUGCUUCCAAGAAAAGCUUCUAAGCUUCAGGUAACCAGGAACCGUACCCCAAACCGACACAGGUGGUCGGGUAGAGAAUACCAAGGCGCUUGAGAGAACUCGGGUGAAGGAACUAGGCAAAAUGGCACCGUAACUUCGGGAGAAGGUGCGCCGGCUAGGGUGAAGGAUUUACUCCGUAAGCUCUGGCUGGUCGAAGAUACCAGGCCGCUGCGACUGUUUAUUAAAAACACAGCACUCUGCAAACACGAAAGUGGACGUAUAGGGUGUGACGCCUGCCCGGUGCCGGAAGGUUAAUUGAUGGGGUUAGCGCAAGCGAAGCUCUUGAUCGAAGCCCCGGUAAACGGCGGCCGUAACUAUAACGGUCCUAAGGUAGCGAAAUUCCUUGUCGGGUAAGUUCCGACCUGCACGAAUGGCGUAACGAUGGCGGCGCUGUCUCCACCCGAGACUCAGUGAAAUUGAAAUCGCUGUGAAGAUGCAGUGUAUCCGCGGCUAGACGGAAAGACCCCGUGAACCUUUACUGUAGCUUUGCACUGGACUUUGAGCCUGCUUGUGUAGGAUAGGUGGGAGGCUUUGAAGCGUGGACGCCAGUUCGCGUGGAGCCAUCCUUGAAAUACCACCCUGGCAUGCUUGAGGUUCUAACUCUGGUCCGUGAUCCGGAUCGAGGACAGUGUAUGGUGGGCAGUUUGACUGGGGCGGUCUCCUCCUAAAGAGUAACGGAGGAGUACGAAGGUGCGCUCAGACCGGUCGGAAAUCGGUCGCAGAGUAUAAAGGCAAAAGCGCGCUUGACUGCGAGACAGACACGUCGAGCAGGUACGAAAGUAGGUCUUAGUGAUCCGGUGGUUCUGUAUGGAAGGGCCAUCGCUCAACGGAUAAAAGGUACUCCGGGGAUAACAGGCUGAUACCGCCCAAGAGUUCAUAUCGACGGCGGUGUUUGGCACCUCGAUGUCGGCUCAUCACAUCCUGGGGCUGAAGCCGGUCCCAAGGGUAUGGCUGUUCGCCAUUUAAAGUGGUACGCGAGCUGGGUUUAGAACGUCGUGAGACAGUUCGGUCCCUAUCUGCCGUGGACGUUUGAGAUUUGAGAGGGGCUGCUCCUAGUACGAGAGGACCGGAGUGGACGAACCUCUGGUGUUCCGGUUGUCACGCCAGUGGCAUUGCCGGGUAGCUAUGUUCGGAAAAGAUAACCGCUGAAAGCAUCUAAGCGGGAAACUUGCCUCAAGAUGAGAUCUCACUGGGAACUUGAUUCCCCUGAAGGGCCGUCGAAGACUACGACGUUGAUAGGCUGGGUGUGUAAGCGUUGUGAGGCGUUGAGCUAACCAGUACUAAUUGCCCGUGAGGCUUGACCAU